UUGAUCCCAAGGGAAUCGCUGGCUGGUCAAGGGCUAGAAGGAAGAGCUGACGUCCUCCAGCACCAUGGAAUCUGGCAAUGCACUGUGGACAGAAGCCCCCACCACCUCCACCUGCAGGUCCUUAACAAGCGCGUCAAACAAAUAUCCUCACAGUAGGAUCUCCUGAAUGUGAUGUCCCAUCUGUAUUCCUGAAGACAGAUGAAGGCGAUAAGAUCCUGCCCACAAAGUUUGCCUGUGAGAGCAGAGCGGUUUGGGUGCCCCGCGCAUUAACAAGGAUCCCGGGAUCAAGACCUGAACUGAAGUCAGAUGAUUAACCACGUGAGCCACCCCGGUGCCCUUGUCAAUGCUGGAUUUACAACUGGCUCAAAUUCUGAACCCAUGUUGAAUUAGUCGUGCCCCCCCCCCACCCCGUAUUCAGUUUUCUCUCCUCCACUCCUCCUUUGCUUGGGUUUGUGUCUUCCUGGAUAUACUUGUGGGCUGGGGGAGUGUCUUUUGCCCUGCUCCUCGUUCUCGGUUUUUUCUUCCAGAGAGUCUCAAAUCCGCAUCAUCAGCCCUGGGGCUUCUGUCGCGGCGAUGGUCGUAUGGUUUCCAGUCUCCUGGCGUAAGUCCAGGUCCCCGAUGAGAGAGAGAGACUCCUGCUCCAGACUUGUGGGACGCCCUGACACCCGACACGUGUGAUUGACAACAGUUUCCUAGUCACAGACCCUCGCGCUUCAGGGGAGGAGGAUACCACACACCGUGCAGGACUGCACAGACAUCGCGCGUGAGAACAGAGAGAACCAGCAGGGCCUCG